UGCGCAGGCGGGAAAUUAAGUCAGUGGUGAAAUCCUGCAGCUUAACUGUAGAAUUGCCAUUGAUACUGAUUUUCUUGAGUGCAGUUGAGGUGGGCGGAAUGUGUAAUGUAGCGGUGAAAUGCUUAGAUAUUACACAGAACACCGAUUGCGUAGGCAGCUCACUAAACUGUUACUGACGCUCAGGCACGAAAGCGUGGGGAGCGAACAGGAUUAGAUACCUGGUAGUCC
rnacentral:rRNA from 1 species